CUUCAGGCACUCGCUGCAUGCAUGAUUCAACCCGCAAUUGCAUAACUCCGCCUCUUUCGGUGCAUGACCGCAUGAAGUCUCUCCUCUCGAGCUGAGGCAGUUCAUGCAGCUUAUGCAUUCAACAUAUUUUAUCGCGAAACUGAAAUCAUGGGUGGUUCGGCUGGGGCAAACACGAUACUCAAAAUCACGUAAGAGUUAAAGAUACGAAUUCACUGCGAAUCCAUUCCGUUACUAAAACUGUACGUAUUGGAGAAACGGAAUAUACCCAGUAUUCCAUGCCAUGCACUCACUCGCUUCAUGCAAGAAAUGGAAUGCAUCCUGUAACAGCAGCUUACGCAUGCGCACAAACAUUUCCAUGGAAAUAAUUCCCACGACAGCUGGAGUCAGAUCGAAUAAGUCUAAGCUUAGUCAUAAUAGAGAUUUAAGUAUUGAAAGAGAACUAAUUGUUAAUUCUUUGAGCAUGGGUAGCUUCGAUCUGACUCGAUAUAAAGCACAUUCAUAGCAGUAUAAUAAAGGACACUAUGAGCAUAAAUUGAAAUAUCAAUAUAACAUAAUCAAACAUGCACAGUAAACGGACAAAAGUAUAACCAAGGAAUUAUUACUAAUAAUGAUGAUGUCGAUAUAGUUAAGUUAAUAAUGCGCUCAAUCAUUCAAUCAUUGUAAGU